UGACAGUACUCCUACGGGGAGGCAGCAGUGGGGGAAUAUUGCACAAUGGGCGCAAGCCUGAUGCAGCCAUGCCGCGUGUGUGAAGAAGGCCUUCGGGUUGUAAAGCACUUUCAGUCGUGAGGAAGGUAGUGUAGUUAAUAGCUGCAUUAUUUGACGUUAGCGACAGAAGAAGCACCGGCUAACUCCGUGCCAGCAGCCGCGGUAAUACGGAGGGUGCGAGCGUUAAUCGGAAUUACUGGGCGUAAAGCGCAUGCAGGUGGUUUGUUAAGUCAGAUGUGAAAGCCCGGGGCUCAACCUCGGAAUAGCAUUUGAAACUGGCAGACUAGAGUACUGUAGAGGGGGGUAGGAAUUUCAGGUGUAGCGGUGAAAUGCGUAGAGAUCUGAAGGAAUACCGGUGGCGAAGGUGGCCCCCUGGACAGAUACUGACACUCAGAUGCGAAAGCGUGGGGAGCAAACAGGAUUAGAUACCCUGGUAG
rnacentral:rRNA from 1 species